CCCCGCACACACCGGGAGCGAGCAGCGCCUUUACCUUUGUGCCUGAUGCUGCGCUUCCAGUCCUUGGCUGUCUCCCUGCCGCUGACAAACUGGAACUCGUUGGGGGUGAGCCACUCUCCCCGGUACCGGAUGGAGGGUCCUUUGCUCCCCUGGCACAACUUAUUGAUGUAGAGCAGCGCCUUGUUCUCCCCGCACUCCACCUCGAUGCAAGGCUCUCCGUUGUCAAAGAAGGGCUGGAAAUCCGGGAUGGAGGAAAACCUCUCCAGCAUCAGCCAUAAGAGUGACCGUUCUGCUUCCACCUCUGUUCCUGAUGACAACUUCACCUCCAAGCACAGAGAGAGCUUGGCCACAGCCUUCUCCAAAAUCUCCCUCCAGGAGGGGUCACAGGAGGGCAGAACAAGAACCGCCUUCAUCCUCCAGGAACAAAUCCUUCUGUGGUACUUCCAGACUCCUCAGAUCUCUGUGGUUUGGAUGCACACUCAAAUAUUAACAGCACUUUGCAUUACCAUCCACUCUUCCCCUAAUAAACAGCUCUAUGAAACCUUUCCUAA